GCACACAAUAAAGGCCAUUUGAGUUGGUCAGAAUGUUAUUCAACAUAUUUUUUGAGGGACAGACAAGCGAAUUCCGCAGUGGCUAAAAAUCUCCUUAGCAACAUAAAAUGAAUUUUAUGUAGUUAUAAGCAAAAGCUUGAAACAAAUAGAAAACCUGAAGUGUAUAGAUAAAGUCAAUUACGUUAAGGAAUAACCAUAAGCAACUGUUUGCUUAGUAAUCAUUACAUUCCCUUUGACACCUCUGAGUUGGGCAAUUAAUUAAUAAUCGUACAAGCUAACACAGACAUUGAUUUAACAUUGCAAAAAAUUAAAAGCAAAAGUGACAGUGACGAAACAAAAUCUUUAUAAUUAUUGGCCCACUUCAACUGAUCAGCUAGUGCGAUCAUUUUUGUAAUGCCAAGGUAAUCUAAUUUAUCACUAAGAAAACAACAAUAAAGAGACGAGUCCGGUCAAUAGAAAAAUAAGCCACGCCAACUGAUUGCUUUUAGCAUUUUUUCAUACCGUAUACAAAGUUGUUCAGACGUAUACGUAAUGCAAGUAAUUGCGUAUACGCCGCAUGUAACACAUGAACAACAUAGCAGGCCGAUAAGCCUCCCAACGAAACAAUUAAAAUGUGAUGUGAUGUGAUGUGAUGCCUGGACAUCGAAAUGCAGUGCCGACCCCCCGCUAGGCCCAUCUAAAGGUCGCAGGACUCGUGCCAGGACUACUGACUACCGACAUCCCCCUAACGUGGCCAACUAGACUCACUUCGAGCAACGCGACAUGCGCCUGCAAAGUGUGCAAAAUCCAGGAGGGUCGCGUGUCUUGCAAGUUGACUGUGUGCCGGCAACGUGUGCGGUGUGCGGAUGUUCGCGUCCGAACAGCAGAUUAUGAAAUGAUUUUGGGGGAUUAGCUGCUUACACGAUUUUUGAUUUAUGAUUCUGAAUACACAAUAAAUGUCUACACCAAAAAAAAAAUUGUCAAAGAGAGAGACUUUUGAAGGCAACUGAAGUAAUUUCGCCCUCUUUCGUGUUUUUAUACGCUCUCUGCCAGCGCUUAUCAAUGACGUUUAUGUAUUGUUAUCAAUCGGCAGAGAAGAAUCUGCCAAUGCCAUGACUUUUUAAAAAUCUGAAGAAAAUAUGUACAGUAGUAGAAAACAACCAACAAAUUGUGCAUUUGAUGCUAUAAUAAAUCCGAUUAUAUAUCUUUA